rnacentral:rRNA from 1 species
CCUACGGGAGGCAGCAGUGAGGAAUAUUGGUCAAUGGGCGAGAGCCUGAACCAGCCAAGUCGCGUGAGGGAAGACGGCCCUACGGAUUGUAAACCUCUUUUGUCAGGGAGCAAGGAGCGCCACGAGUGGUGCGGCGAGAGUACCUGAAGAAAAAGCAUCGGCUAACUCCGCGCCAGCAGACGCGGGAAUACGGAGGAUGCGAGCGGUAUUCGGAUUUAUUGGGUUUAAAGGGGGCGCAGGCGGAAGCGGCAAGUCAGCGGUAAAUUUGCGGGGCUAAACCUCGCCGAGCCGUUGAAACUGCUCUUCUAGAGUAGGCGAGAGGUAUGCGGAAUGCGUGGUGUAGCGGUGAAAUGCAUAGAUAUCACGCAGAACUCCGAUAGCGAAGGCAGCAUACCGGCGCCCAACUGACGCUCAUGCACGAAAGCGUGGGUAUCGAACAGGAUUAGAUACCCUUGUAGUC